rnacentral:rRNA from 1 species
UACGAAGGUGGCAAGCGUUGUUCGGAUUCACUGGGCGUACAGGGUGUGUAGGCGGUUUGGUAAGCCUUCUGUUAAAGCUUCGGGCCCAACCCGGAAAGCGCAGAGGGUACUGCCAGGCUAGAGGGCGGGAGAGGGGCGCGGAAUUCCCGGUGUAGCGGUGAAAUGCGUAGAGAUCCGGAGGAACACCAGUGGCGAAGGCGACACGCUGGGCCGUACCUGACACUGAUGCGCGACAGCAUGGGGAGCAAACAGG